UUUCAGGUAAUCGCAGUUAAUUGUAAAUUAAUUGAGGAAAGUCCAUGCUCGCACAAGCUGUGAUGCUUGUAGUGUUCGUGCUUAGUGAAACAAUAAGCUAAGGUAUUUUAUAACGGCGAAGAAACAUUCUAAGGCUUCGGCUAGGAAUCAGUACUUCUGAAAAGUGCCACAGAGACGAUGCCUGCGAGAAAUCGUAGGAUUGGAACGCGGUAAACCCCUCGAGCGAGCAACUCAAACUAGGUAGAGGCACUCUUUUGAGUAGGAAUUCAACGAAAAAAAGAGCUGACAUUGUCAGAGACAGAUGAUUACCCACCAAUUAAGGCCUAUAUUAAUUGGUCGACAGAACAUGGCUUAUC
rnacentral:RNase_P_RNA from 1 species